UACGUAUGGUGCAAGCGUUAUCCGGAUUUAUUGGGUGUAAAGGGCGUGUAGGCGGGAAUGCAAGUCAGAUGUGAAAACUCAGGGCUCAACCCUGAGCCUGCAUUUGAAACUGUAUUUCUUGAGUGCUGGAGAGGCAAUCGGAAUUCCGUGUGUAGCGGUGAAAUGCGUAGAUAUACGGAGGAACACCAGUGGCGAAGGCGGAUUGCUGGACAGUAACUGACGCUGAGGCGCGAAAGCGUGGGGAGCAAACAGG
rnacentral:rRNA from 1 species